rnacentral:rRNA from 1 species
UACGUAGGGGGCAAGCGUUGUCCGGAAUCAUUGGGCGUAAAGAGCGUGUAGGCGGCCCGGUAAGUCCGCUGUGAAAGUCUAGGGCUCAACCCUGGAAUGCCGGUGGAAACUGUCGGGCUAGAGUCCGGAAGAGGCGAGUGGAAUUCCUGGUGUAGCGGUGAAAUGCGCAGAUAUCAGGAGGAACACCAAUGGCGAAGGCGGCUCGCUGGGACGUGACUGACGCUGAGACGCGAAAGCGUGGGGAGCAAACAGG